AGCAGCCGCGGUAAUUCCAGCUCCAAUAGCGUAUAUUAAAGUUGUUGCAGUUAAAAAGCUCGUAGUUGAAUUUCGGGAUUGACACAUCGGUCGUGCCUUAAGGGGUAUGAACUGGUGUAGUCAAUUUCUCACCUUCUGGAGAACCGCGAUGCCCUUAAUUGGGUGUCGCGGGGAACCAGGACCUUUACUUUGAAAAAAUUAGAGUGUUUAAAGCAGGCAUUUUGCUUGAAUACAUUAGCAUGGAAUAAUAAAAUAGGACGGCAUGAUUCUAUUUUGUUGGUUUCUAGGAUCACCGUAAUGAUUAAUAGGGAUAGUUGGGGGCAUUAGUAUUCAAUUGUCAGAGGUGAAAUUCUUGGAUUUAUUGAAGACUAACUACUGCGAAAGCAUUUGCCAAGGAUGUUUUCAUUAAUCAAGAACGAAAGUUAGGGGAUCGAAGACGAUCAGAUACCGUCGUAGUCUUAACCAUAAACUAUGCCGACUAGGAAUCAGACGAUGUUAAUUUUUAUGACUCGUUUGGCAC
rnacentral:rRNA from 1 species